rnacentral:rRNA from 1 species
CCCGCUGAACUUAAGCAUAUCAAUAAGCGGAGGAAAAGAAACUAACAAGGAUUCCCUCAGUAACGGCUGCAGUGAAGCGGGAAGAGCUCAAAUUUAAAAUCUGGCUUACUUGUAAGUCCGAGUUGUAGUCUGAAGAAACGUUUCCCAUAAGCACUGAGGCACAAGUCCCUUGGAACAGGGCAUCAUAGAGGGUGAGAAUCCCGUCCAUGGUCUCAAGUUGCUUAUUUUGUGAUACGUUUUCAAAGAGUCAGGUUGUUUGGGAAUGCAGCCUAAAAUGGGUGGUAAAUUUCAUCUAAAGCUAAAUAUUGGCGAGAGACCGAUAGCGAACAAGUACCGUGAGGGAAAGAUGAAAAGAACUUUGAAAAGAGAGUUAAACAGUACGUGAAAUUGUUGAAAGGGAACCGUUUGAAGCCAGUCUUACUUGCUCGUGAUCAGUUUGUGCCUCGGCAUGAAUGCACUCUCGGGUAUGGUAGGCCAACGGCAGUUUAGAAUGCGAGAAAAAAAUUUGGGAAAUGUGGCCUUCGGGUGUUAUAGUCCCUUAUGAAAUAUCGUGUUCUGGACUGAGGAUCGCAGUAAAAAUGUGGGCAGGUAGAUUUCUGUGGUGAAUGAUUAUUAGGACAACUUGUUGACCUAGUUUUCAUAAGCCUCACUGUUUGCCUUGCUUGUAAUUUGCUUAGGUCGUUGGCAUAAUGGCUUUAAAUGACCCGUCGUGAAACACGG